AUUGAACGCUGGCGGCAGGCCUAACACAUGCAAGUCGAGCGGAGCUGCGGACGGGUGAGGAAUGCCUAGGAAACUGCCUGGUAGUGGUGGAUAACGUACGGAAACGGGCGCUAAUACCGCAUACUAUCAGAUGAGCCUAGGUCGGGUUAGCUAGCUGGUGGGGUAAAGGCCUACCAAGGCGACGAUCCGUAAAUGGUCUGAGAGGAUGAUCAGUCACCCUGGAAGUGAGACACGGCCCCGAGUCCAACGGAAGGCAGCGGUGGGGAUGAUUGGACAAUGGGCGAAAGCCUGGUCCAGCCAUGCCGCGUGUGUGAAGAAGGUCUUCGGAUUGUAAAGCACUUUAAGUUGGGAGGCGUUACCAACAGAGUAAGCACCGGCUAACUUCGUGCCAGCAGCCGCGGUAAUUC
rnacentral:rRNA from 1 species